ACCAGGCGCAGUGGUACGUGCCUGUAGUCCUAGCAACUCAGGAGGCUAAGGUGGGAGGACUGCUUGAGCCCAGGAGUUCUGGGCUGUAGUGCGCUAUGCCAAUCAGGUGUCCGCACUAAGUUCAGCAUCAAUAUGGUGACGUCCCGGGAGCAGGGGACCACCAGAUUGCCUAAGGAGGAGUGAACCGGCCCAGGUCAGAAACGGAGCAGGUCAAAACUCCCAUGCUGAUCAGUAGUGGGAUCAUGCCUGUGAAUAGCCACUGCACUCCAGCCUAGGCAACACAGCGAGACCCCGUCUCU
rnacentral:SRP_RNA from 1 species